CCUAACCUCACUGAGCUCGAGAUUGCACAAGCCUACUUCCAUCAUCAUAAAAUUCAGUUUUACUCCUUAAAUAAAACAAUAGUACUAAAGAUUAGAAACUGAUCAAUUUACAAAAUAAAAAAAUGAAAAAAAAAGUAGAAAAGGGCAAAACAAAAGAGAUGGGGAAUUACCUUUUCUCCUCUAUGCUUUGGUUCCAUAAAUUCAAAGAGACCUUGCCGCAGAAGAUCAAGUUAAAAAAACCAACAAGAAAAAAAUGCAAUGAGAAAAAGAGAACGACAAUUGGAAUCAAUUUUGAGGCUUCCUUGCAGAUUUAAAGAAGAAAGAAUAAGAGGCACCAGCUUAAGAACCAAACUUCAAACUUCUCUUUU
rnacentral:lncRNA from 1 species